GAAACGCAAAUCGCAUGUCUCAGAUAAGCCGAAUAUGGUAAAUCCGCGAAUGGCUCAUUAUAACAGCCAUAAUCUAUGGAAUUUAGUGAUCUACUCGGAUCACUGUACUAAUUGUAGAGCCAAUACGUGCAAUCAAACCCAGACUUCGGAAUGGGUGCCUUUAUUGGAUCAAAACCAAUUGGCUUCGGCCAUCUAUUGGUGACUCUAAAUAACUUAGCUGAUCGCAUGGGCUUGUCCCGGCGACAUAUCCUUCGAGUGUCUGCCUUAUCAACUGUCGAUGGUAGUUUAUUGGACUACCAUGGUUGUAACGGGUAACGGAGAAUAAGGGUUCGACUCCGGAGAGGGAGCCUGAGAUACGGCUACCACAUCCAAGGAAGGCAGCAGGCGCGCAAAUUACCCACUCUCAGAACGAGGAGGUAGUGACGAAAAAUAACGAGACAGUCUUCUAUGAGGUCUGUCAUCGGAAUGGGUACAAUUUAAACCCUUUAACGAGGAUCUAUUGGAGGGCAAGUCUGGUGCCAGCAGCCGCGGUAAUUCCAGCUCCAAUAGCGUAUAUUAAAGUUGUUGCGGUUAAAAAGCUCGUAGUUGGAUCUGCGUCCAUCAAGACCGGUAGCCCAUUGGGUUUCACUGGUUCUUGUGGACUCCUUACUAGUUUUUCCAUGGUGCUCUUAACUGAGUGCCUUGUAGACUAGUGCUUUUACUUUGAAAAAAUUAGAGUGCUCAAAGCAGGCGUUUGCCUGAAUAGUGGUGCAUGGAAUAAUGGAAUAGGACCUCGGUUCUAUUUUGUUGGUUUUCGAGCUCGAGGUAUGAUUAAGAGGGACAGACGGGGCAUUCGUACUGCUGCGUUAGAGUGAAAUUCUUGGAUCGCAGCGUGACGAACAACUGCGAAAGCAUUUGCCAGAUGUUCUCAUUAAUCAGACGAUAGUUAGAGUUCGAGCGAUCAGAUACGCCCUAGUCUAACCGUAACGAUGCAACUAGCAAUCCGCUGGUGUAAUUUGACUCACGGGCGGCUGCCG
rnacentral:rRNA from 1 species